GGUCUCAGCCUCCAAGCCGGGCGGAGCUCUCAGAGGCACUGGCUUAUCACCCACGCUCUGGGUCUGGCCGCGCUUUCCGGGUUGCCUCCAGAGCCAAACAGAUGGUUGGGCCCAGGUUGCAUACGUUUGCAAUGAAAAAUUCACUAUGGACAUGAGAUAUUAGGAAGGCGUCAAAGCUGAUGUCAAUGGCAGAGGAAGAAUUAGAAGCUGUGUUUCCUUUGAGGUCUGAAGAUCCAGUUCUAGCUUUUCCUAGCACAUACAAGCUUCGGGCAAAGCCCCUCCACUUCUAAGCCUCAUAAUGGGGAUGAUAUUUUUAUCGUCUGCCUCGUUUGGUUGAUACAGAGGUCAAAGUCAUAUUUUCCCAAUCAUUUAUUCACUACUUGAACCAAAACUGGACCCUAAUGUGUUGCAGAAUAACUUGGCAUCUAUGAAGCACCAUGUAAAAGUAUUAUUAGAAAUACUUCUCUCAGCAUCCUGAAGUAGCCUGCCUCCCAAGCUGCCUUAUUCCUAGGAGAAUCUUCCUCCAUCAUCACUGUACCUAGCCCAGGGAACCUGACAGGGGAUGAAAGAAGGGUAUCUCACCUGGACUGGUGGUCUUGAAACCUGGAAAAAAAUGCUUUCCCUCUUUCUCAUGAAAACCAUUGCUGAGAGCUGAUGUUUAGGAUGCAGACCUAGUGGGAAGAGCAACCGCAUAUGGCGUUCUUACCAUAUAGAAGACACUGUGUCAGGAGACUGACAUGCAGAGAUGUUAUUCUUUUUAAUUUUUUAGAUGAGGAAACAGAGGCUCAGAAGUACACAUUAGCGCAAGAUCACAAGAACCCAGAUUCUUCAGACCCUAAAGUCCUUGCACUCACAGGACCCUCUCCCGUCUCCCCGGACGUGCGGUUCACUGAAGUCUCCCGGAUUCUGACUCAUGUGCCCAGAAGGAAGGACAGAGGGCAGGCCUUCACCUUCUCCUGGAGAGGAAGAGAGCAGCUAAGACUGUGGGCUGAGAAAGUGUUGGGCCUGCCAGGGUGUGUGGAGUGCAGGCCUGGGAAGGAUGAAGGCUGGGAUUCUAGCCUUGACCUCCAGGUGCAAGGUAGAGGCCCUCCUCCUGCCCCUAAGGACAACCUGACAAGGUGUCUCAUUCAGGCUGGAGCCCCUUCUGGGAGAAGGGGAGUGGGGGUGCGUGUGGCUGACCCCUGCCUGCACUCAGGCUCUCCAGCCUCUUUUCCGUCAGGAGACGGUGCAGCUUGGUCGAGAGGGUGGUGCGGGUGUAGGAGGCUCCUGUGCAUUUCUGGUCAUUUCUCUGGCUAGAGUGUAAGCUGUGUGCCUAGUGAUGGUGGGGCACCUAAGCUGGGCUUGUCGUGGGCUGAUGGCGGUGUGGAGUGUAUGGUCCCAGAUGGGUCUCUGGUGCUGUCCUGGUGGACCAUGGCUGUGACUUUCCACUGCCCUUCAAAGGUUCAUUUGUAGUUGAGGCACCAGUGAUCUGUGUGGCCGAAAUACAGCUGGAGAAGGCAGUCGAGUAACUUAGGUCACCCAGACUAGACCCCUCACCUUCACUGUCUGGUCGGGGCCUCUGCCCCUGGUGCUGCUACAGAAACCUCACCCUUCUCACAGCACAUUAUGGCUGUCUCUUUACUUAGAGAUGGCAGGUUCCUCGGGGACACAGGAUCGUUGUGCUGGCCUCAGGAUUCCCAGUGGCUUUGGUGACACUUGAGCCUGAGAUGCUCCUCACUAAGGUAGAACCCAGACAACAGCUUUGGCCCAAUUACAGGAAUGAGGAAAACCAUGGAAAGUGGGGAAACGAAGGUAAAUGGUUGAUUGUAUCUCUGGGAAGUGUCUUUCUGCUCCUCUGGGCUGCGAAUGAGAACCUUGAGUGUAAAGGGGAGUAGAAGGGACUGUCUAUGCUGCCUGCACCCUGGCUCCAGCCAGAGAGCUGAGGCUGGCUAGAGCGGCUUCCCAGAAAAGGGACAGCAGCUUUGCUCGGGGGCAAAUCCUAUGUUGCCUUUUCAGAUAAUUUUAAUCUGCUCUCGUGCAGGCUGCACCUAUUAUUUCCAUUUUACCUUGUAUUUAAAGUGAAACCCCUGAAAAUUCAGAAGGCAAAUAAAGCAAUCCUGCUAAUUUCAUGAAGAUGAAACUGUAACAGCAGCUUUUAUAGAGUGUGAGCCACUCACUGAGAACCUGGUAGCCAGAGAAGGAGAAGGAAGAGGUGUGCUAUGACUCAUCCCACGAGGCCAGAACUUCCUCUAGCUUCCUCUAGCAUGUAGAGAUUCUGGAGGGAGGGGGAGCUCUGCUAUGAAGGAACCUUCCAGAAACUGCAGCCCUGUGAAUUUUCCCUUUGACUUGCCUUGUUUCCUUUCUCCUUGAUGAGACCAGAAGAGUGACAUGGCUGUCAGAAAACGCUGGUCCCUGUGGGUUGGCGAACAUCUCCCACUGGUACCUCUGUGCCAAGGUUCCUCUGUGCCAGGGGGUCUGUGCCGAGGACAAGCCUCUGUCUGGUGCCCUGUGAGGCAUGCAGCCUAUCUCCAAAGUUAGUCGGAACGCAGGGGAGGGAGGGCCCGUCUGUCCUCUCAGUAAUCCCCUUGUCACCGCCACCUCCGAAGCCUGCUCACCCCAACAGAGGGGAUGUGAUGGGCAGCCUGUCAAAUAGAUUGUGAGUGCAUUAGCAGGAUUAGCGGUGAAGACAAAUAAUUCAGUGUCCCAAAGUUCAUUCCCAGCCUCUGAGUGGUCUGCUUGGCUGCCAGAGUGAGCAGGCGCAGGCUUCAGAAUUCUUGUCACCUGAAGUUGGCCUCAAGUGGUCAGAGGCACAGUCGUCCCACUGUGUUUGACUUGUGGUUAUGUGUUUUUAUUCCACAGCAGAACUGAAUUCAUAGUAUUAGUGUAAAAUACUGUGUAAGGGUUCUUUAGCUUCUUACUGAUAAACUAGCUGAAGUAUUAUAACAGCCCCUCAUAACCAGAUGCUUUGUUCUUGGCAGUGAUGGAAGCAUUAGCAAUUUUAUUUUUGCUUGUUGAAGUCAUAAACUCUCACUGUGGAAAAAUUGGAUCAGAAAAGUAUGAAGGAGAAAUUUAAAAUACUUAAUCCUUUCACCACUUAUUUACCUCUGAUACCAUUGUGUUGUAUUUUAAGGCAGUCUUUUGCCUAUGCACAUAUAUAUGUGUGUGCGUGUACACAUAUGCAUAUGCAUAUUUAUACAUAUAUGUACACAUGUGUAUAUGCAUAUAUAUGUGUAUAUAUAUAUACACACACACAUAUAUAGAACAAAAUUGCAAUUAUAUUGUAUAUUGGAUUUGGUUUCCUUUUUAAAAAAAUCAAAUAUAUCAUCAACAUUUGCCAGUUUUCUUGCACUUUAAAUGAAAGCACCUAUGAAAGAUUUAUUGUGGAUAUAUUUGCAUUAGUUUUCUAUUGAUGUGUAACAAAUUACCAGAAACUCAGCAACUUACAACAAUACCCACUUAUUAGCUCACAGAUCAGUAGUCAGGAGUUGGGGUCUCUGCUCAGGUCUCAGAAGGUCAAAAUCAAAGUAUCAGCUGGGCUAAGUUCUCCUCUGGAGGCUCUGGGAAGCAUCGCUUCCAAGCUCGUUCUUGUCAGCAGGGUUUAGUUACUCGAGAUGGUAUAUGGCCAAAGUCCUCCUGUCCUUGCUGGUCAUAAGGUGGGGACUUCUCUCAGCAGCUGGAGGCCACCUGUCUUCCUUUGACAUAUGGCUCCCUUGAUCUGCAAGCCAGCCACAGUGCGUUGAAUCCUCAUCGUGUUUUGAAUCUCUGUCUUCUUCUCUGAUCCACUGGAGGAAACUCUUUGCUUUGAAAGGACCCAUGUGACUAGGUCAGGCCUACCUUAACCUCUCCAACUUAAGGUAUACUGUGUCCUAUAAUGUGACCUAAUCAGGGGCAUAAAUGCCAUCGUAUGACAGUCACCGGGAUGAUGCAGGACAUGUAUCUCUACUUACCGCAAUAUUAUAAUUUAUUUAAUAAUCUCCUGGUUUUAAAAAACUGAGUGGCCACGAUGCCGUAGUUAAGCCUACAAAGCAUGGCUUUCUGGAUAAAUGAGAUAUAUUGCCACUUUGGAGCUUCAUUUGGGAAUCUUGCUUUUGGGGAAUCAGGCGUGAGAGUGGGGCUACUGCAGUCUUUUGCUGGAUCAUAGAAUAGUUGGUGUGUUAAUUUUCUAGGGUUACCAAAACAAAAUAUCAUGAACUGAAUGGCUUAAAAUAAUAGAAAUUAGUCGUGUCAUAGCUCUGGAGGCUAGAAUCCUGAAAUUAAGGUAUCAGUAGGGCCAUGAUCCCUGUGAAAUCUUCAGGGGAAUCCCUUCCUCUCUCUUCUUAGGCACCGAUAGUUAGCUGGCAGUCCUGGGGUAUCUCUGCUAUGACUCCAGGGUCUGCCUUCCCCAUCAAGGCCAUUGUUUCUGAGUGUCUGUGUCCUCUCACGGACAUCUUAUAAAAACACUGGUCAUAUAGGAUUAGGGACCCACCCUAUCUCAGUAUAAUCUCAUUUUAACUUAACUAAUUACAUCUGUAAUGAUCCUGUUUUCAAAUAGGGUCACAUUUGGAGGUUUUGGGUGUUAGGACUUUAGUAUAUCUUUUUUUUUAAGGGGAUACAAUUUAACAUUUAAUGAUUGGUAUAGAAUAUUAGGUGACUAUCUUAGUGGAAACUGAAUGGGCAUCUAAAAUAGUAGGCCUUGAACCAGAAGCAGAUGACACAGGCAGUUAUUUCAGCAAAGAUUGGGAAAGCUGGCUGGGCUUUGAGGUAGCUGGUAGUGCCAGGCCAGGUUUGACUCAUAAUUCCUGAAAAUAGGACUACAGUAAUAGCAGUGUCCUGGGGUUAAGGCCACACCUGAAAUUUCUUGAUGUAAAGUUUUGGCUAGUGGCCCUGAAGUUUGGUGAGCUGGGUGCCAUAAGCAAAGGGCAGAUAGAGCUCUGGCUUCUCUGACAAGCAGUUCCUGGAAGCAGUGACUAUAUAUCAUGGUGGAAAAUGUGUUUCCUCCUCUCUUCUGUUUUGUUUUGACUUAAGUUUGAUCUUUUUAGUUUGAAAAGUGAUUUCAGUUUGUGAUCUUUGGUAAUUUUCACAUCCACCCUGUGAAGUUAAAAUUACUGUUUCCUUUGAGGUAUAUAGUGAAGUUAAGUAUUAGUAUCCAAAAACUGCUAACAGGAAGAAAAGUAGAUAUUACUGUUACUGUUUUACAAAUGAGAAGCUAAAAAAAAAAAAAAAAA
ensembl:lncRNA